AUUGAACGCUGGCGGCAUGCCUUACACAUGCAAGUCGAACGGUAACAGGUCUUCGGAUGCUGACGAGUGGCGAACGGGUGAGUAAUACAUCGGAACGUGCCCGAGAGUGGGGGAUAACGAGGCGAAAGCUUUGCUAAUACCGCAUACGAUCUUAGGAUGAAAGAAGGGGACCGCAAGGCCUUGCGCUCACGGAGCGGCCGAUGGCAGAUUAGGUAGUUGGUGGGAUAAAAGCUUACCAAGCCGACGAUCUGUAGCUGGUCUGAGAGGACGACAGCCACACUGGGACUGAGACACGGCCCAGACUCCUACGGGAGGCAGCAGUGGGGAAUUUUGGACAAUGGGCGCAAGCCUGAUCCAGCCAUGCCGCGUGCAGGAUGAAGGCCUUCGGGUUGUAAACUGCUUUUGUACGGAACGAAAAGACUUCUUCUAAUAAAGGGGGUCCAUGACGGUACCGUAAGAAUAAGCACCGGCUAACUACGUGCCAGCCGCCGCAGUAACAC
rnacentral:rRNA from 1 species